UACGGGGGGGGCAAGCGUUGUUCGGAAUUACUGGGCGUAAAGGGCUCGUAGGCGGCCAACUAAGUCAGACGUGAAAUCCCCAGGCUCAACCUGGGAACUGCGUCUGAUACUGGAUGGCUUGAAUCCGGGAGAGGGAUGCGGAAUUCCAGGUGUAGCGGUGAAAUGCGUAGAUAUCUGGAGGAACACCGGUGGCGAAGGCGGCAUCCUGGACCAAUACUGACGCUGAGGAGCGAAAGCCAGGGGAGCAAACGGG
rnacentral:rRNA from 1 species